AUGAAGACCAAUUUUAGGUUAAAGCAAACACAAAAACAAAGAAACUAUGAAUAAGCAUUUCACACUUUUCCCUCCUUUUGUUAUCUCUCUCUGUUUGAACCAACGACUCAUCGUUCAUGUUGCAUUACAUUAAGCCAUGUAACAUUUUCAAUGCUUUUUUCUUACAAUUUGUGUUAUUUUUUUCAUCUUAAAUUUUUAUAAUCUAAUGUGCUCCUUAGUUGUACGAUUAUUUGCAAAUUAAUUGGUUAACAAAAACUAUUACAAUUAUUUUUGAUCUUUUUGUGUUAUGACAUUCAAGGUUUUUCCUUGAUUUCCCAUUCAUUUCAAUCUGUUUCAAGUGAGUAUCUUCUACUUUUUUCUCCUUUGCUGAAUUAAGAAUGAUUUUAUUUUUGUUUUCGUAGGCUUGAAAUGUUCAGAAAGGAUGGAUAUUCCCUAGCUGCGAAAAAUAAUAUAAAUCUAUCAGAUUCAACUGAAAAAAGAAGUUUUUAGCCUUGGUUGGUUCUAGUUGCAGUUACAUUUCUUAACUCAGUUUUUGGCAAUGUUGGAAGUAUAAUAAUAUUCCCAAACAGCUUCAUCAUUGAUGAUAACUGAAGGUCAUUGAUUAGAAUCCAUAUUAGUAAAAGAAUUACGUUGGCAUAGGGAUUAUAAAGAGUUAGCCUUUGCUUGGAAAACCAGCACGAGCAGAAAAAAGGGGAUUUAUUUAUUUUUUCGGUCCAAAAAUUUCAAGUUAAAGGGUGUGGAUGGAUAUUCGAUAACUUUGCUUAAUUAAUGGUGUGCUGAUUGAAUGAUGGACGUAAAGGUAUACUGAUGGCUUAAGUCAACAGCUUAUUACCAAUAUUUUAUAAUACAAUGCAGAUAUGGAUGGCAUUGGUACAAAUCUAGAUCAAUAAUAUUGGAAGUGAUCAAUGUUAACAAAAAUUUAAAC